rnacentral:rRNA from 1 species
AUUGAACGCUGGCGGCAGGCCUAACACAUGCAAGUCGAACGAGUGGCGGACGUGUGAGUAAUGUCUGGGAAACUGCCUGAUGGAGGGGGAUAACUACUGGAAACGGUAGCUAAUACCGCAUACCAUCAGAUGUGCCCAGAUGGGAUUAGCGAGUAGGUGGUGUAAAGGCUCACCUAGGCGACGCUCCCUCGCUGGUCUGAGAGGAGGAACAGCCAAACGGGAACGGAGACACGGUCCAGCCUCCUACGGGAGGCAGCAGGGGGGAAUAUUGCACAAUGGGCGCAAGCCUGAUGCAGCCAUGCCGCGUGUAUGAAGAAGGCCUUCGGGUUGUAAAGUACUUUCAGCGGGGAGGCGUUACCCACAGAAGAAGCACCGGCUAACUCCGUGCCAGCAGCCGCGGUAAUAC